rnacentral:rRNA from 1 species
CAUGCAAGUCGAGGGGAAACGACAUCGAAAGCUUGCUUUUGAUGGGCGUCGACCGGCGCACGGGUGAGUAACGCGUAUCCAACCUGCCCAUCACUUGGGGAUAACCUUGCGAAAGUAAGACUAAUACCCAAUGAUAUCUCUAGAAGGCAUCUGAAAGAGAUUAAAGAUUUAUCGGUGAUGGAUGGGGAUGCGUCUGAUUAGCUUGUUGGCGGGGUAACGGCCCACCAAAGCAACGAUCAGUAGGGGUUCUGAGAGGAAGGUCCCCCACAUUGGAACUGAGACACGGUCCAAACUCCUACGGGAGGCAGCAGUGAGGAAUAUUGGUCAAUGGACGAGAGUCUGAACCAGCCAAGUAGCGUGCAGGAUGACGGCCCUAUGGGUUGUAAACUGCUUUUAUAAGGGAAUAAAGUGAGUCUCGUGAGACUUUUUGCAUGUACCUUAUGAAUAAGGACCGGCUAAUUCCGUGCCAGCAGCCGCGGUAAUACGGAAGGUCCGGGCGUUAUCCGGAUUUAUUGGGUUUAAAGGGAGCGUAGGCCGGAGAUUAAGCGUGUUGUGAAAUGUAGAUGCUCAACAUCUGCACUGCAGCGCGAACUGGUUUCCUUGAGUACGCACAAAGUGGGCGGAAUUCGUGGUGUAGCGGUGAAAUGCUUAGAUAUCACGAAGAACUCCGAUUGCGAAGGCAGCUCACUGGAGCGCAACUGACGCUGAAGCUCGAAAGUGCGGGUAUCGAACAGGAUUAGAUACCCUGGUAGUCCGCACGGUAAACGAUGGAUGCCCGCUGUUGGUCUGAAUAGGUCAGCGGCCAAGCGAAAGCAUUAAGCAUCCCACCUGGGGAGUACGCCGGCAACGGUGAAACUCAAAGGAAUUGACGGGGGCCCGCACAAGCGGAGGAACAUGUGGUUUAAUUCGAUGAUACGCGAGGAACCUUACC